rnacentral:rRNA from 1 species
UACGUAGGGGCCUAGCGUUGUCCGGAAUUAUUGGGCGUAAAGAGCUCGUAGGCGGUUCGGCAAGUCGGAUGUGAAAUCUCCACGCUUAACGUGGAGGGGCCAUUCGAAACUGCUGUGACUCGAGUCCGGUAGGGGAGUGUGGAAUUCCCGGUGUAGCGGUGAAAUGCGCAGAUGUCGGGAGGAACACCAGUAGCGAAGGCGGGUCUCUGGGCCGAUACUGACGCUGAGGAGCGAAAGCGUGGGGAGCGAACAGG